rnacentral:rRNA from 1 species
GAUGAACGCUGGCGGCGUGCCUAAUACAUGCAAGUCGAGCGAACAGACGAGGAGCUUGCUCCUCUGACGUUAGCGGCGGACGGGUGAGUAACACGUGGAUAACCUACCUAUAAGACUGGGAUAACUUCGGGAAACCGGAGCUAAUACCGGAUAAUAUAUUGAACCGCAUGGUUCUAUAGUGAAAGACGGUUUUGCUGUCACUUAUAGAUGGAUCCGCGCCGCAUUAGCUAGUUGGUAAGGUAACGGCUUACCAAGGCAACGAUGCAUAGCCGACCUGAGAGGGUGAUCGGCCACACUGGAACUGAGACACGGUCCAGACUCCUACGGGAGGCAGCAGUAGGGAAUCUUCCGCAAUGGGCGAAAGCCUGACGGAGCAACGCCGCGUGAGUGAUGAAGGUCUUCGGAUCGUAAAACUCUGUUAUUAGGGAAGAACAAAUGUGUAAGUAACUAUGCACGUCUUGACGGUACCUAAUCAGAAAGCCACGGCUAACUACGUG